ensembl:lncRNA
CAUCAUUUUACUGUUGGGAAAGUGGAGACAAUGAAUGUGUCUCCCAACUGUGAAUAGCCCCCUCCUGUUCCUUUCCUUUCAGGAUGGAACCCAGCUUUGUCCUUGUGGUUGAAGAGCCCUGAUGGGUGGACAGUUAUCUGUAGCCAGGGAACUCACCGCCCUUCUCAUGCAGAAUAAUAAGCAGAAGAGCAAACCACCACCCUAGGUAGCACCUUGCAUUCUGCAGUCUCUUGAUAAGCACCCUCACCCUCAGAUGAAUCAAGGUGUUUAAUGCCCAUUUGUGUUUCUUCCCCUAAGAAGCAUCUCUUCUG